AUCCAGUUGACGAGUCCCAAAUAGGACGAGAUACGUGUUCUAGAU
rnacentral:hammerhead_ribozyme from 1 species